UGCACCUGGUGGCGAACACACGCUCCGCCCCACCCGCGCCCACCCUCACUCGCGUGCGAUCACUCCAACACACCAGGAGCCGUGUUGCAGCGCCGGCCGGCCUCCUGCGUGCUGACCGCGCGAUUCCCCUCGACGGACGAGGCACGACCUCCCUCACGUGCAGCACCCAAGCCGACGACGUGCUUUGGAAGGCUUAAAUAAAGUGAGAAAGUUCGUGUGGUCGUCCCGCGCUAGACACGUGUGCAUGCGUGCAGGCCGCAACUCUCGUGGCUGAGGUGGUGUUGCCAGUCUUGACAGGCGGGCAGUCCCUCGCCCUCCGCCCACCGACGCCAGCAAACAGCGCGGGGAUAAGUGAUGUUGUUGGACACGGACGCCGUCUUAGUGGCGUUCGAGAAGUGACAUGUGUUCCCAAACCGGCGUCCGUGAUAUCUGUCGCAGCCGCUCAGUGCUGAGUACAUAAUCCAGCGUAUCACGCGUGACAUUGCAAAGCUUGCAAUCGCGCGAUCUCACCUUUGAAAAGAAGUGAUAGAGAAAAGGGAGAAAAAAGUUGUAAGCGUAUAGGGAUCCGGAGGGCCGUCCUGCAGGGAGGAGGAACACCAGCAGCGUAUCGCAAGCGUCGCGGUGUCAGUCAGCGAGAGGUUGUCGAGCGUGUAUUAUGACAGCAGUUCUGAGAGUGUGCAACCUUGUGGCUGCGACACCCACGUCCAGGGACCUCCUCUCAGCGCCGCCUUCGCGAGCAAACAAAUAACAGGCCACGGCAGCCGACUCGCAAUGUAGAGAGAGUAGUGCGAGCGAGAGGAGCCUUGAUCGCUGCGCUGUUUCGACGCGAGGAGGACUUCGAAGAGGAGAGCCGGGAUCGCGACCUCGUCCUGCGGUGCCCAGCCGUGUGUCUUGCAGUGUAAAUUGUUUGUAGCUGAGAAAAUAAAGACGUGACAGCGUUGUUUAGGCUAACUCUUCUUUCGUGUUGUCUGGUGAUCGUAGGCCAGAGUGAAAACUGACAUUCGAGCCGAAGAAUUUGGUGAUACAUUAACAGAAGGGUAAACAAAAUAUCAGAGCCCCAAAAUCUAAGAAUAAUCCAGAGACAUCUCAAGGGUCGAAAGUGUUUUGCGGCCCAGACGAAAAAGGCCUCACGGGCACCGCUGUGCGUUGUGGCGGAGGAAACUGCUCCCACUCCAGCGUCGACGGUGAAAGGCGCCUCUCGAGUGCCAGUGUGACCCGAGCUGAUGAAAAGGCAGGGGAGAGCAGGUCAAGUGUGAGCCGCCAGCGUCAGAGCAGAGAGAACGUCAAGGCGGAAGUGUGAAUAAUUUAAAGAACAGGAAAGCUGUGAAGAUCAGAGAUUCCGUGAGACGAACCUUGAUUAUUUAACGUGUGACAGAGGAAGGGGUCGCGGAGGCUUCUUGUCGCCUCUGAAUAACUCAAGGAGCAAAUAUUUUCCUUUUUUUUCGUCCCGAAGGCGAAAAAAUAAGAGAAUUCGUUUUUUCUCUCGACAAGUGAUCACUUUGUGAGUACUGAUACUCCUAUAUGUAAGUGCAUAUCAUAUGAAAAGUACGAAAAAAUUGGAAAGAACCUUUAGUCAUUUCUUGAUCCCCGUUGGAAUUUCAUGUCAAAGCUGGUUUGAAAGACAGUUUAAUCUUUUUAGAUAAUUUUCUUAUAUGCUUUUUAGCACGACAAAUAUUGUCUUUGAUAAUAAGAAAAUAAUAAAAGAAAAAGUAAUGUUCUGUUUUCUGUGAGCUUUGAAAGUGUUUGGUAAUUAAUAAGUGGAAUAUUACACACACCUAAUUAAAGUGUCAAGAAGAAAAUAAAACAAGAAAAAAUAAAUAAAUAAAAAAGACAUACGAAAAGUAAAGAAGAGAGGGAGCGUCUUGAUUACGUCACCGUCUUAUCAAGAGAGCAGCCGAGAGAAUCAUCCAAGCAUCAUAAGGUACGUGAUGUGGCCGAGAGUCCUUGCACAGAAUCCCGGAUAAAGGGGUAGGCAAUCAUCUCUUGAAUCCGUUUUCUUUGAAUGCGAUCGUCAAUUGUUUUGCGAAAGAGGUCGUUUGUUCUCCGAGGG